rnacentral:rRNA from 1 species
GACGAACGCUGGCGGCGUGCUUAACACAUGCAAGUCGAACGGUGAACCAGAGCUCGCUCUGGGGAUCAGUGGCGAACGGGUGAGUAACACGUGGGCAACCUGCCCAGACUCUGGGAUAACCCGGGAACCGGAGCUAAUAUCAGAUAUGACCACUUCGGACAUCCGAUGGUGGUGGAAAGUUUUUCGGUCUGGGAUGGGCCCGCGGCCUAUCAGCUAGUUGGUGGGGUAAUGGCCUACCAAGGCGACGACGGGUAGCCGGCCUGAGAGGGCGACCGGCCACACUGGAACUGAGACACGGUCCAGACUCCUACGGGAGGCAGCAGUGGGGAAUAUUGCACAAUGGGCGAAAGCCUGAUGCAGCGACGCCGCGUGAGGGACGACGGGCCUUCGGGUUGGCAAACCUACUUUCAGCAGGGACGAAGCGAAGUAGACUGUACCUGCAAAGAAGCACCGGCUAACUACGUGCCAGCAGCCGCGGUAA